rnacentral:rRNA from 1 species
AGUGAACGCUGGCGGUAGGCCUAACACAUGCAAGUCGAACGGCAGCACAGUAAGAGCUUGCUCUUACGGGUAGCGAGUGGCGGACGGGUGAGGAAUACAUCGGAAUCUACUUUUUCGUGGGGGAUAACGUAGGGAAACUUACGCUAAUACCGCAUACGACCUACGGGUGAAAGCAGGGGAUCUUCGGACCUUGCGCGAUUGAAUGAGCCGAUGUCGGAUUAGCUAGUUGGCGGGGUAAAGGCCCACCAAGGCGACGAUCCGUAGCUGGUCUGAGAGGAUGAUCAGCCACACUGGAACUGAGACACGGUCCAGACUCCUACGGGAGGCAGCAGUGGGAAUAUUGGACAAUGGGCGCAAGCCUGAUCCAGCCAUACCGCGUGGGUGAAGAAGGCCUUCGGGUUGUAAAGCCCUUUUGUUGGGAAAGAAAAGCAGCAGGUUAAUACCCCGCUGUUCUGACGGUACCCAAAGAAUAAGCACCGGCUAACUUCGUG